UAAAAUGCGUGAAGAACUGUGGAGAUGGCCAGGCAAAGGAGGAUCUUCUUGGCUUCAUUUGUACCAGAGCACUUUAUCAAGACUGAAUAUAAUUUUGCUGGCCUAUUUAUGAGCUAAAAAUAGACAUUAUUUUGUUUGGCCCAUUUUCCAUCUUAGGCUCUCCUGGGAGCCCAGGUGAACUGUGGCUCAUUUUUAACUCCCUCCCAUCAUUGCGUAUUUUCCGUCGACCCAGGCUGCAUGGAAGUGAAAGUCACUUUGUACUGCCAGUCGCACUGGAGCGCGCUGAAUCUCCCAGAAGCAGGGAAAGAAAAAGGCCCGUGGAGAGGACUUUCCAUUCUUAGCGAAACCUAGCUGCUGUGGCCUGAGGGGCUAAUCAAGCAUUAUAAACACUGAUUAAAUAAGUUUGGAUGGGAGCAAAUUCUGCAUCUUCCGCCGCUGACUCGUGGGUCCUGAGGGGACUGCCCCUCCUACCCAGAUCUUGCUGUGGGUAGAAUUUAUGAAACUGUAAUCCAGCGACCUUCGUGUGGUCUCCAGACAAUCUCCUCCUGAGCUUAGAACUUUAGAGCUGAAUGUUACCUUAUAGAUGAUCUAGAUCCUUGCUACUGAAAACGUAACGCGCGGAACAGCAGACGGCCCUCAUCAGGAAUCUCGUCAGACAUGUAGAAUUCCCACCCCAGCCCUACGGAAUCAGAUCACGCCUUAAACGAGAUUUCCAGGUGGUUCACAUGCGCAUUGAAGUUCAAGAAGCAAUGGUGUGGAUCAAGACCCUUGUUUUAUAGGUUAGGAUGCUGUGGCCCCGAUCUGGGCAGUUAUUAGCUAGCAUCCCACAACAACCGUCAGAGCCUGCCAUUCUCCUUUCUCCAGGAUGCUGCGGUCCCUCCAUAUGACACGGCUUCUCUGGACUCUUGAAUGAAGAGUUAUUUGUAUAGUAUUUGCGUUCGUUAGUGGGAAAGGAAAUAGCACCUUGUUCACAUAAACAUAACCUGUGUCUGUGUUUCCAUGAUCUCUGAUAUAACUUGUUGAAAACGCCUAGCACAGUGCCUGUCUAUGUGGUAGGUGCCCAACUGACACUGUGAUCGUAUUGAUAAAAUUAUUAAUACUAAUAGUUGUUAUUGUCAUUAAUUUUGUGCUUGCAGUAAAAGUAACAGAAAAUAGUGAAAAUUUUCCUUGGAGGUUGCCUUAUACACCCAACCAGCUUGCAGACCAGAUCAGGAAAUCCUAGAGGCUGGUAUGGUGGGAAUGGGUUUACUUUCACUUAAAUUCCUACCACAGGGUAGGAGGUGGUUGGCUGGUGAAACAUCUACCAGCGCAUCACAGCUCCUUGUUGUCAUAAAGGAUUAUGUUUACCUGCUUCCCUGGCAGUGGUAAAAUAAAAAGAUGCGAAGUCAUUAAAGACACUACCACUGUCUUCUGGGAGAAUCUCUUCUCAUCAUAGGCUCAGUCUUUCUGGAUAAUUGGGUGACCACUCACCUCCUGGCCAGUGAUGUCUCUUCUCUUAAUUCUUUUCUUCCUCUUCUUCCUUCUCUUCCUUUGACAUUAGUCAAGCAGCUCCAUGGAGCUUUUUUUGCAGAUUUUUUGAGGUUUUCUACACAGCAAAUCACGUCAUCUGUGAAGAGAGAGUUUAAUUUCUUUUCCAGUCUUCUCCUGAAGUGCCCUCUGUCCACAGAGUGCACCUGCUGAGGAGUCACUGAGGACCAGCUGAGUGACACAGGCAGUUACACACAAGCAUGGAGCCAAGAUACCUGACAGUGGCGUGGACUUCCUGGAAGAAGUGAAUGUGAAUAGAACUGAAAGUAGAGGAGAAAGGGCAUUCUCAUGCAGGUGAUUUAAAGUCCAGAAUUUGGGAUAGAAAGGAAGUGAUGGGAAGGAGGAAAGUCGGAAUGGAAAGAAGGAAGGAGAGAAAAUAAGAACAAAUCUCUUACAUGUCCAUGUACUGUAUUAUUCCCUGAAUAUCUUACAGCAAAAACAAAAACAAAUAGUCUCUGUGAUAAUUCUAGCAUUCACAUUUCUUGGUUAAUUUCUCAAAUAAGUAUUUUAUUUUAAGGAAAAUAAUAAACAAAAUUAUAAAUUCAAAAUGGAGGGCAAGCGAUUUAGAACAUUUAGAUGGUUACUGCUCAAAUUACGGUCCCCGCCUCAUCAGUGUAAGCCUCACCUGGGUGCUUGUUAGAGGUGCACAUCCAGGGACCAUCGACGUGUGACUUGUGCUCAGAAAGGCUCUGUGCUUGGUUUAAUACACUGCUGUUGCCAACUUGAAAUUCCCAAUUUUUGAGCAAAGGGCCCUGAUUUUUCAUUUUGCACUGGAUUCCACACUUUAUGCAGGUGGUCCUGUGCAGACCCUUGGGCCCCACCUCAGAGCUAUUGAACAAGAAUCUGCAUGUUAACAAGAUCCUCAGGAGACCUGCAUGUGCCCUAAAAUUUAAGAAACAUCAUUUUCAAUGAUAAAGAAACAUUUGAACGAGUAGCAUGUUUUUUCUCUUGCAUCACGUGUUUGACUUUUAUCUUUUGUUGCUCCUGCCUUUAAUUUCCAGAGGGCUCAUUUAUAUAACCUUCUCCUACAGAUAAUCUGAAUAGUUGGUGUUCUGUAUAGCUGCCUGUAAAUACGUAUGGUCCUUUUACAUGUUUCUCCUUCACGGGACAGUAGGCAACAUUUUCUGUUCAAAAUUCAAGUAACAGGACAAAGCCAGAGGAAUAGUUAAAAAGUGGACUAAAGAAAGAAAAAAAGAGCGUGUUAAGGAAAGGAAGUAAAAUGAGAAGUGGAAAAGAGAUAUGGACAGAGUAAGGUGGUUGUAUAAUGAAGAAUUUGUCUGAUCUUUGUCCCAGGUUCCGGGCAUAAAGCUUAGAAGCCCUUGGCAUUUCCUGAGUGAUGGAAGGGUCUUUGCUACUUGUCGGCCCCUGGGAUCAUACCUGAUUUUAUGCUAGUGAGGUGACUCAUUGUGGGCCCCUAGAUAGGACAGAGGCUCGUCGCCAGAAAGACCAACCAAAAGAUUAAAGAGUUGGUCUUUGAGUCAGCUCAACUUCCAGGGAGGGAAGGGGGUGGAGACUGAGCUCAAUCACGUGGCCAAUGAUUUAAUCAAUCAAGCCUAUGUAACGGAAGCCCAGGAAAAGCUCUGGACACUGGCUCAGAGGACCUUCCUGGUUGGUGAACACACUGAUAUGGUGGAGGGUGUGACGUGAUGCACCUCGAUUCCACGAGAAGAGGGCGUGAAAGCUCUGCAUUUGGGGCCCUCCAGGCCUUGCCCUAUGUGUCUCUUCAUUAAACUGUUCCUCAUUUGCAUCCUUUAUAAUAAAAAUGUAAUCGCAAGUACAGCACUUUCCUGAGUCAUUCUAGCAAAUUAUCAAACCUGUGGGCAUCGUGGGAACCCCUGAACUUGUAACCAGUUGUUCAGAAGGGCUGGUGGCCUGAGGACCUUCAAAAUGUGGCUGGCACUGGAAAGGGGGGCAGUCCUGUUGGGAACGUGACCUUUAACCCAUGGGGUCUGCACAGACUCCAGGUAGUUAGUGCUAGCACUGAACUGUAGUAUUGCCGUGGGUGGCCAGAUGGUUGCUGUCAAAACAAAGGUAAAAAGUCAAUGUGAGGAGGUGUUGGCUCUCUUUGGUGUCCUCCACCAAGGUCAAGGCCCUCAUCGUACAGACACACUGAAGUUCAGGAAGCUGUCCCAAGGCAGCCAGGCCUGGACUUCUGCUCUGUAUGCAUGAAGUGCUGGCCACACAGUCAGAGGAAGUAGUUUCAUGCAGCAGCUGCCUAUUCAUUCUCAAAGAAAACUCUCACUAUGCAUAUGUAUAUCACUUCAUCAUGUUGUACAGCUUAAAUAUGUGCAAAUUUUAAAUAAAUGAAAUUUUUAAAAAGAGAGAAAACCUUCAAAGCUCAUAAAGACAAGGGGCUGGAUGUGGCAAGAGAGGAUGACAGAAAGCGAGGAGAACAUAUUGUCCUCUGCUAGGAGGGUACUAGCACCUUAAGAGGUUAAUAGGGGCUGGCCCCUUGGCUGAGUGGUUGGGGUUCUGCACACUCCGCAUCAGCAGCCUGGAUUCAUGUGUUUGAAUCCCGGGUGUGGACCUACUCCACUCAUUGGCCAUGCUGUGGAGGCAUCUUGCAUACAA